AGAAUCAACGCUGGCGGCGUGCCUAACACAUGCAAGUCGAACGAGAAAGUGGAGCAAUCCAUUAGUAAAGUGGCGCACGGGUGAGUAACACGUGACUAACCUACCCUUGAGUGGGGGAUAACCUAGGGAAACCUGGGCUAAUACCGCAUAAUACCUUCGGGUCAAAGGAGCAAUUCGCUUAAGGAGGGGGUCGCGGCCGAUUAGUUAGUUGGCGGGGUAAUGGCCCACCAAGACGAUGAUCGGUAUCCGGCCUGAGAGGGCGGCACGGACACACUGGAACUGAAACACGGUCCAGACUCCUACGGGAGGCAGCAGUGGGGAAUUUUGCGCAAUGGGGGAAACCCUGACGCAGCAACGCCGCGUGGAGGAUGAAGCCCCUUGGGGCGUAAACUCCUUUCGAUCGGGACGAUUAUGACGGUACCGGAAGAAGAAGCCCGGCUAACUUCGUGCCAGCAGCCGC
rnacentral:rRNA from 1 species